GACGAACGCUGGCGGCGUGCCUAAUACAUGCAAGUAGAACGCUGAAGGAGGAGCUUGCUUCUCUGGAUGAGUUGCGAACGGGUGAGUAACGCGUAGGUAACCUGCCUGGUAGCGGGGGAUAACUAUUGGAAACGAUAGCUAAUACCGCAUAAGAGUAGAUGUUGCAUGACAUUUGCUUAAAAGGUGCAAUUGCAUCACUACCAGAUGGACCUGCGUUGUAUUAGCUAGUUGGUGGGGUAACGGCUCACCAAGGCGACGAUACAUAGCCGACCUGAGAGGGUGAUCGGCCACACUGGGACUGAGACACGGCCCAGACUCCUACGGGAGGCAGCAGUAGGGAAUCUUCGGCAAUGGACGGAAGUCUGACCGAGCAACGCCGCGUGAGUGAAGAAGGUUUUCGGAUCGUAAAGCUCUGUUGUAAGAGAAGAACGAGUGUGAGAGUGGAAAGUUCACACUGUGACGGUAUCUAACCAGAAAGGGACGGCUAACUACGUG
rnacentral:rRNA from 1 species